GGGCUUAUGAUGAAAUUUUUUAAUAUCUUAGCGGAUUUCGGUGAGACCUUAGUGCCAAUGAUCUGAAUGUUACACACACUGAAGCCC